UUCCCAACCACCGGCGGUGGGCACUCUGCCAGGCCACGCCCCCAGCUGCUAAUAAGCCCCGCCCACUGGGGAGCGCCGUUCCUUAAAAGGCGCGUACCUGCGCGCACACUAAAGAGUCUCCUCCCACGACACAAUGCUCCAGUUGGAAUGCUUCAUUUUAGACUGAGUGGGAAUCUCCGUGUCUACAUGGCACAUGUUGGUGAGGAAAUCCCACCCCUGGGCAAGAAGAACAUGGGGAAGGUCUCAUCAUCCCGUUCGCCUUCCCUUCCCUACAGUUUUCUAUUCUUUGGAGAGUUUAAUUCAAGGGGAAAGCAACGGUGACAG